rnacentral:rRNA from 1 species
AUCGAACGCUGGCGGCAGGCCUAACACAUGCAAGUCGAACGAGUGGCGGACGGGUGAGUAAUGUCUGGGAAACUGCCUGAUGGUGGGGGAUAACUACUGGAAACGGUAGCUAAUACCGCAUACCAUCAGAUGUGCCCAGAUGGGAUUAGCUAGUUGGUGGGGUAACGGGCCCCCAAGGCGACGAUCCCUAGCUGGUCUGAGGGGAUGACCAGCCACACUGGAACUGAGACACGGUCCAGACUCCGACGGGAGGUAGCAGAGGGGAAUAGUGCACAAUGGGCGCGAGCCUGAUGCAGCCAUGCCACGUGUAUGAAGAAGGCCUUCGGGUUGUAAAGUACGUUCAGCGGGGAGGCGUUACCCGCAGAAGAAGCACCGGCUAACUCCGUGCCAGCAGCCGCGGUAAUAC